GUGCUAUUUCAGCAUCACAAGUACUAAAAUUGGUAUGAUGCAAAGAAAACUAGUUCAGCCCCUGUGCAAAGGUGGCACACAAAUUCACGAAGUGUUCCAUAUUUUU